AGGACGAACGCUGGCGGCGUGCUUAACACAUGCAAGUCGAGCGAGGCCUUCCCUUCGGGGGAGUGCCCUAGCGGCGAACGGGUGAGUAACACGUGGGCAACCUGCCCCUAGCACUGGGAUAACUCCGGGAAACCGGGGCUAAUACCGGAUAUGACCUUCGAGGGCAUCCUCUUUGGUGUAAAGGAUUCUGGCUAGGGAUGGGCCCGCGGCCUAUCAGCUUGUUGGUGGGGUAAUGGCCUACCAAGGCGACGACGGGUAGCCGGCCUGAGAGGGCGACCGGCCACACUGGGGACUGAGACACGGCCCAGACUCCUACGGGAGGCAGCAGUGGGGAAUAUUGCACAAUGGGCGAAAGCCUGAUGCAGCGACGCCGCGUGAGGGGAUGACGGCCUUGGGUUGUAAACCUCUUUCAGUACCGACGAAGCGAAAGUGACGGUAGGUACAGAAGAAGCACCGGCCAACUACGUGCCAGCAGCCGC
rnacentral:rRNA from 1 species